rnacentral:rRNA from 1 species
GAGUUUUAUAUUUAUUUUAUUAUUUGGCUAUAUUUGUAUAAUUUAAUGUUAAAUAAAAUUAAAUAUUAUAUUGGGGUGAUAGAAAAAUUAAAUUAACUUUUUUUAAAAUAUUAACAUAAAUAAAUGAAUUAAUGAUCCAUAAAUAAUGAUUAUAAGAAAAAAUUACCUUAGGGAUAACAGCGUAAUAUUUUUUUUUAGUGCAAAUAAGAAAAAGAGUUUGC